AACGCAGCUUGCACUCUAUGGAUCUUCUAUAGAGUACGCUUGCUUCAGUAUCAUAACUAACCCACACAUAAAAAUCUUUUUUUUUUUUAUGUGGUGAUGGGCAAGUUCGGCGGCCCAGUAAUAUUAUUAUUGCUUGCUGCUGAUUGCCUAAAAUACAGCCUCCUUGUAAUUCUCGCAUCGAAUUACGAACUACCUAGCCAUCGUGCCUUUUUUGGUCCAAAAAACCAAAAAAACGUAAACCUAGGGGGGUUCUGCCAGCCAGCAGAUAUUUGCAUGCCUUCUCAACUAUGAUCUGAAGUCAAGUGGGACUACCCGCUGAACUUAA
rnacentral:misc_RNA from 1 species